CCUAGUUACAAGUGCAAAUAUUUCAAAUGGGAUCCUACAUAUAGAGCUUAAUCAGGUUGUUGAGGGCGACCAAGGAACAUACAAACUGACGGAAUUAAGUGAAACUACUAUCGUCAUAGAAUGUGUGACUUUAUACAUCAUAGCUGAGCCUUGGCCUCCUUCACAUUUACACAUUAUCAGUACACCUGGCCUGGUACACGCUAGAUGGACUAAAGGUUUCAACGGAGGAAGUCUUCAAUCUUUUCUACUGCAAAUAUCCUACGAUAACAUUUGGAGAAACCUGACUCAAGUGAACGAGAAUGACUGGAAUAAUAUGUGGAAUGAAACUGUGUAUCAAGUCAAUAUCACAAAUGUAGAACCUGGUAAAAACUCGAUGCGAGUUAUUGCUUUCAACAAAGUUUGGUAUGCAGUAGUGAUGGGCAAUCGGUUGUAUUUUACAAUCGAUUAUCGGUUACAAUCGGAGACCAUCAACCGAUUAGACAUCGGCUAUAAUCGGAUAUUAUAGAGCAGUGAUUGCUUGUAAUAUACUUGAAGGUAAUGGGUAUCACUUUGUCUCUGUAAGCUGAAUUUUAUGUAUAAAUCAAAGAAUAGAA